UACGUAGGGCGCAAGCGUUAUCCGGAAUUAUUGGGCGUACAGAGCUCGUAGGCGGUUUGUCGCGUCUGCCGUGAAAGUCCGGGGCUCGACUCCGGAUCUGCGGUGGGUACGGGCAGACUAGAGUGAUGUAGGGGAGACUGGAAUUCCUGGUGUAGCGGUGAAAUGCGCAGAUAUCAGGAGGAACACCGAUGGCGAAGGCAGGUCUCUGGGCAUUAACUGACGCUGAGGAGCGAAAGCAUGGGGAGCGAACAGG
rnacentral:rRNA from 1 species